UUCAGAGUGGAAUCCGGAGAGGCAUGGAAGCCAUUCUGACAUGAAUCCUUUAAUUCCUAAGGAAAGAAGAAACAGAGAGAACAGAAAGAUGUCCUGAUGUUGCCCAGCCCGGCUCACCACUGCCCUGCUGCCGCUGUGAGGCAGGCCUGUUCUGGGACUCUGCACUAAACAAUUCGUCCACUCCAUAGCUGUACAUACAGCUGUUUAACCUGCAUGGACUUUAACAAUGACACUGAACACGUGUUUGAUACACAUUCACUUUCUCAUAAUUCAGUCCCUGUUGCUACUUUCAUCUCUAACCAUAAGAGUCUUGGAUCUUUAUCUUUGUAAAGCUGCUUUGUGACAUUUUUUUUGUAAAAAGCUCUAUAUAGAUACAACUCAAUUGGUGAAAAUGAUAUAGCUAAUAUAGAUGGUUGUUCACUCUGUGUGUAAGCUGCUAAAGUUUGUCCUUCUUCCAGAAUCCAGACCUAAAUGGGGCUUUAUGGAUGUGGCAACCCUUGCCUUCUUGUCCUAUAGGUUUCCUGCUGUAACACACCAAGUUCGCCUCAGCGAGGGAUCGUCAGUUUAUUUAUCAGGUGCACUGUAAUGCCUACAGAGCAUUGGUACUUCAGCACAGGAAUUCAAAUUAAAUAUUUUUAACGCA